CCUGGAGAUCCGGCAGGCGCUGCCUGCACAUUCUGGCCGCUACACCUGCACGGCCCAGAGCGCCGCGGGCACGGCCCGCAAGCACCUCUGGCUCACGGUGCACGAGCCCCCUGCCUUGAAGCCCCUGCCCGGCAUGGUGAUGGUGAUGGUCAAUGCCAGCGUGGUGCUGUCCUGCGAGGCCACAGGCAUCCCCCGGCCGGAGGUCACCUGGCAAAAGGAUGGUGUUGGCAUCACUGGAGGCUCUGGGCUGAAGGUGCUCCCCAGAGGGCAGCUCCGGCUCCUCCGAGCAGCCCCAGAGGACGCCGGCACCUACCUGUGCAUGGCCCGGAACCCCUCGGGCAC